GAUCAAUCAGGGAGGUUCUCCACGUGAAGAUGCUGCUCGGAAGAUGGUGCUUGAGACUGCUGCCACACUUGAACACCUGGAGAAGACUUACGAAACGUUCAAGGCACGCGUUGGAUUAUUAGAGAAGGCAGCCACGUUUCUGAAGUGGUCGUGGGCUUGCAUUAUCCCUGUGCCUUUGGUUUACGCCAUUGCGCAGCAUUAUUAGGAUAAAGAGGAACUGGCCCUUGUGAUUUGAACCGGGUUAUUUAAUAUCUGUGGUCUUUAUCAUGAGAUGUACUCAUCACACUACUCAACUGUGUCAUGGUUAUGCUAAGUGCAUCAUCAAAAAUGCCACUCUAAAACGUUACUGUACCAUAUUGACAGCCAGAUUUGCCUGAUAUGUGCCCUUGCACCCACCUGUUA